rnacentral:rRNA from 1 species
AGAUUGAACGCUGGCGGCAGGCCUAACACAUGCAAGUCGAGCGGCAGCACGGGUACUUGUACCUGGUGGCGAGCGGCGGACGGGUGAGUAAUGCCUAGGAAUCUGCCUGAUAGUGGGGGGAUAACGUUCGGAAACGGACGCUAAUACCGCAUACGUCCUACGGGAGAAAGUGGGGGAUCUUCGGACCUCACGCUAUCAGAUGAGCCUAGGUCGGAUUAGCUAGUUGGUAGGGUAAAGGCCUACCAAGGCUACGAUCCGUAACUGGUCUGAGAGGAUGAUCAGUCACACUGGAACUGAGACACGGUCCAGGCUCCUACGGGAGGCAGCAGUGGGGAAUAUUGGACAAUGGGCGAAAGCCUGAUCCAGCCAUGCCGCGUGUGUGAAGAAGGUCUUCGGAAUUGUAAAGCACUUUAAGUUGGAGAAGGCAUUAACCUAAUACGUUAGUGUUUUGACGUUACGACAGAAUAAGCACCGGCUAACUCUGUGCCAGCAGCCG